GUUAAUGUAGCUUAAUUCUCAAAGCAAGACACUGAAAAUGUCUAGACGGGUGACUACACCCCAUAAACA
rnacentral:tRNA from 3 species